GGUUUUCCUUCUAGUCAUUUUGCUCAGUGCAGAGUGGCCAAAAGCAAGUUGUAUUGGGAAAAAGAGAAAAAGAGAGGAGAGAAAGAAGGAAAGAAAAGAGAAAGAAAAAAAAAAGGGAAGAGAAAAAAAAAACGAAAGAAAAAAAAAGAAGAAAAAGAGAAAGAAAAAGAAAGGAGAAAAAAAGGGGAUGGGGGAAGGAAACAAAUCAAAAAGCAAAACAAAACAAAAAAAAAAAAAAAAAAAAAAAAAAGAAGAAGAAGAACCACCUGGGAGUAUCUUCUGAUUCUGUGUACUUUAAGUCCCUUGGCUUCUCCUGGAAGUUGUCCUUCUAGCUGGUGUUCUGGGGGAGGGGCCUGCUGUGCUGAUUUUCAGGUGUUAGCAGUUGGGGGAGCUGCUGUGCCCCUGCCUGGUGCAGGGCUCAGUGGGGGUUGUUUGCCCCGUGAGGCCGCAGGAGGAACAGCCCCAGUGGCGGGGCAGCUCUGGAAACCUGGAUUCAGCUCCGGCAGGAACUCCGUCUGCAGGGCCUGGAGGCUCCGGGGCGGGGCCGCUGAUCUGCUCAGCUGGGGCAGGAGCGUCCUCGCUGUCCUGGGCCCUCCCGGCCUCUGCCUGUCCCGGGGGAGGCCGGAUCCUGGGCUGUGUCCCGGCGCCCUGUGCUCCGGAGCCUGCGCUGGUGGAUUCGCGCUCCCGGGCCGCGCAGCCCCCUCCGCGGAGCCGCCGCCCAAGUCCCUCCGAGCUGCUCCUGGAACCGCGCAGCCCCCUCCGCACGGAGCCUCUUCCUCUGCCCGAGCCCCUCCGAGCUGCUCCCGGGGCUGCGCAGCCCCCUCCGCGGAGCCGCCGCCCGAGCCCCUCCGAGCUGCUCCUGGAACCGCGCAGCCCCCUCCGCACGGAGCCUCUUCCUCUGCCCGAGCCCCUCCGAGCUGCUCCCGGGGCCGCGCAGCCCCCUCCGCGGAGCCGCCGCCCGAGCCCCUCCGAGCUGCUCCUGGAACCGCGCAGCCCCCUCCGCACGGAGCCUCUUCCUCUGCCCGAGCCCCUCCGAGCUGCUCCCGGGGCCGCGCAGCCCCCUCCGCGGAGCCGCCGCCCGAGCCCCUUCAGCUGCUCCGGGUCCCGCCGGGUCCCGCCGGGUCCCGCCGUGCGCGCUGCAGCCCUUGGGGAGCUCGGCGCACUCUCCUGGGCGCGCAGUUGCUGUUACUGUCCCCGGGAGCCCGAGGGCAUCCCCGCCCUCCUGGGUCCUGCUCCAACUCCCUGCGAGCCCCUUUCCGCCCGGGAAGGUCGGUGCAGCUCCUGCGUCUCCGGGACGGGGCUCUCCUGUCCUGGGGACACUCGCCCCGGCCUCAGCCCGGCUCCUCGCGGGGCCCCUCCCCCUUGGAGGCUUUUGUUUUUUUAUUUCUUUUCCCCCGUCUUCCUACCUUGAUAGAAGCGCGAACUCUUCUCACUGGAGCAUUCCAGCUGGUCUCUCUUUAA
rnacentral:lncRNA from 1 species